AGAUUGAACGCUGGCGGCAUGCCUUACACAUGCAAGUCGAACGGCAGCACGGGAGCAAUCCUGGUGGCGAGUGGCGAACGGGGUGAGUAAUACAUCGGAACGUGCCCAGUAGUGGGGGAUAGCCCGGCGAAAGCCGGAUUAAUACCGCAUACGACCUACGGGUGAAAGCGGGGGAUCGACAAGACCUUGCGCUAUUGGAGCGGCCGAUGUCAGAUUAGCGUUAGUUGGGUAGGGGUAAAACGCCUAACCGAAGGGCGAACGUAUCGUAGUAGCUGGUCUGAGGAGGACGACCAGCCACACGUGGGACCUGACGACGACCGGCCAGACCGUCCGUACGGGAGGCGA
rnacentral:rRNA from 1 species